CUUAAAAAUGUCUGAAAUAGAUCAACUACUUGUUUUAAGUAACUACAGGAAUGAGUAGAUAAGAAAAUCGGUCUAAAGAGCAUCUGGAACCAGGGAGAUCUCCAGAGACCUACAAGGAUGACACAAUCUGACAAUCCAGAGCCCUCAUCCAGUGGUUGAUGGAAACAGAGACAGACAUCCACAGAUAUACACUGAGCUGAAAUCGGGAAUUUAGUGGAGAGAGGGAGGAAUGAAGAGUGAAGGGGUCUGUACCAGGUUGGAGAAACCCACAGGAUCAGUUGGCCUGAACAAGGGAGAGCACAUCGACCCCAGAUGCUUUCACCCGUCCAAGACUGAUCCAGAUCCCUGAACAUGGAUGUCAAUAAGGAGGCCUCUGCACACGAGGGAGCCUCUGGUGGUGGAUUAGUAUUUUUCCCUGGUGCAAGAAGGGACUUUGAGAACCCAUCCCACGUGAAGGGUUACACUCUGGCCCUGUACACAUGGGGAAGGGCCCAGGACCAGCACAGGAAGAUUUGGUGGACUUUGCAGAGCCCCCGUUGAGGGCCCUAC
rnacentral:lncRNA from 1 species